CACGUAGGGCGCGAGCGUUGUCCGGAAUUAUUGGGCGUAAAGAGCUCGUAGGCGGCCUGUUGCGUCCGCUGUGAAAGCCCUGGGCUUAACCCCGGGUCUGCAGUGGAUACGGGCAGGCUAGAGGUAGGUAGGGGAGAAUGGAAUUCCCGGUGUAGCGGUGAAAUGCGCAGAUAUCGGGAGGAACACCGGUGACGAAGGCGGUUCUCUGGGCCUUACCUGACGCUGAGGAGCGAAAGCGUGGGGAGCGAACAGG
rnacentral:rRNA from 1 species